CCCAGUCUAAAGGCUUCUCAGACUGCAGCUCCAGCUCCAGAAACUGUGCCAAGAAGAGCUCAUGAUCCUGGAGCAGACUCCUGGAAGAAAAGACUCCAGGCUGACAAGAGAAUGGGGCAGGGGCAUGGGUGCAUUUUUCUCUUCCCUGUUUUAAAGAAAUAAAGAUAAGAAUAAGAA